rnacentral:rRNA from 1 species
UACGAAGGGGGCUAGCGUUGCUCGGAAUCACUGGGCGUAAAGCGCACGUAGGCGGCUCUUUAAGUCAGGGGUGAAAUCCUGGAGCUCAACUCCAGAACUGCCUUUGAUACUGAGGAGCUCGAGUCCGGGAGAGGUGAGUGGAACUGCGAGUGUAGAGGUGAAAUUCGUAGAUAUUCGCAAGAACACCAGUGGCGAAGGCGGACUCACUGGCCCGGUACUGACGCUGAGGUGCGAAAGCGUGGGGAG